ensembl:misc_RNA 7SK 7SK RNA
UGAAAGGGCAUCCUAUCUGACUUCAACAUCUGUCUUCCACUGACUGCCAGUAUUGGCUUGGCAGUCUGGAUGCCUGGCUGUCCCCAUUCUCCUUUAUUCCUCUCCGUGUGUCCCUUCCAAAACUGUGUGCUGUUACAAGAGGAUGACUUUCUCAGGGAGAUGAUGGCUUUGGUGGAUGAAUAGUUGGGCCCCUCUGUUCAAAGCCCCAGAUACCCUUCUAUAAGUUUAUUCAACCUGGAAUAAGAUGGUAG